rnacentral:rRNA from 1 species
GUGGGGAAUAUUGCACAAUGGGGGGAACCCUGAUGCAGCGACGCCGCGUGAGCGAAGAAGUAUUUCGGUAUGUAAAGCUCUAUCAGCAGGGAAGAAAAUGACGGUACCUGACUAAGAAGCACCGGCUAAAUACGUGCCAGCAGCCGCGGUAAUACGUAUGGUGCAAGCGUUAUCCGGAUUUACUGGGUGUAAAGGGAGCGUAGACGGCUGUGCAAGUCUGAAGUGAAAGGCCGGGGCCCAACCCCGGGAGUGCUUUGGAAACUGUGCAGCUAGAGUGUCGGAGAGGCAAGUGGAAUUCCCAGUGUAGCGGUGAAAUGCGUAGAUAUUGGGAGGAACACCAGUGGCGAAGGCGUCUUGCUGGACGAUGACUGACGUUGAGGCUCGAAAGCGUGGGGAGCAAACAGGA